GAACCUAGUAUUGUAUUUAAAGACAUAGUUUACAAGUGGCAUUGAACUCAUUGUGCUAAAAACACAUAUGACUUGAACUUAGUAAUGGAUUGGUUGUUGUACUAGAAACUCUAGUUAACAUUGAUCAAGUUGCAUAUUGGGAUAUUGCAUUAUAGGGUACUAGUUGGCAAUUGUUACAUGUCAUGGCAUGCUAGUGGGAGUGUAGUGUUACUUGAUUAAUAUUUGUACCUAGUAUGCAUGAGAUUGGGACUUAGUGUGGUGAAACCCUAUAAGGGCAUGAUUAAUGUGGAUUAAACUUUAGUUGAGUACAUUAAUCGAUCAAGUUGCAUAUUGUAUUUAUUGCAUAUAGGUGCUAGAUGAUUAUGGUUAUUGCUUAUAUUUGCAUGCUAGUAGCUAUACAUCUUGAUGAUUGAUCCAUGAUCUAGUAUGCAUGAGAACCUAGACCCUAUAUGUGAUGAU
rnacentral:lncRNA from 1 species